rnacentral:rRNA from 1 species
UGCAAGUCGUACGCUUCUUUUUCCACCGGAGCUUGCUCCACCGGAAAAAGAGGAGUGGCGAACGGGUGAGUAACACGUGGGUAACCUGCCCAUCAGAAGGGGAUAACACUUGGAAACAGGUGCUAAUACCGUAUAACAAUCGAAACCGCAUGGUUUUGAUUUGAAAGGCGCUUUCGGGUGUCGCUGAUGGAUGGACCCGCGGUGCAUUAGCUAGUUGGUGAGGUAACGGCUCACCAAGGCCACGAUGCAUAGCCGACCUGAGAGGGUGAUCGGCCACAUUGGGACUGAGACACGGCCCAAACUCCUACGGGAGGCAGCAGUAGGGAAUCUUCGGCAAUGGACGAAAGUCUGACCGAGCAACGCCGCGUGAGUGAAGAAGGUUUUCGGAUCGUAAAACUCUGUUGUUAGAGAAGAACAAGGAUGAGAGUAACUGUUCAUCCCUUGACGGUAUCUAACCANAAAGCCACGG